GGAGAGAAAAAUUAUUAAGGGAAUGUUAUAACUCUCUCUCUCUCUGUCUGUCUCUCUCCCUCUCUCUUGCUCUGUGUGUGCUCUCUAUUUCUAUUUCUCUAACUCUCUCUAUCUGUGUGUGUGUGUGUGUGUGUGUGUGUGUGUGUGUGUGUUUGUGUGUGUGUGUGUGUGUGUGUGCAUAUUUUCAUAUUUAUAUUCUAAUAUUGGUUUGGGUAUAUGCAUGCAUGCUAUGGUGUGCUUGUGGGAGUCAGUGCCAAUCUUUAACCUCUACCUUGAUUGAGACCAUCUCUAUUGUUAUUUAUAGCCAGUCUAGCUCACUUCCAUUCCUUGCUAGCUUUUAGAGACUCUACUGUCUGCACUGUUCAUAUCAAGCUUCACCAGUUCCUUUUCAUUGCUAAGCUACAAAGGAAAAAAGACAAAGGGAGAGAAGAAAAAGAAGCCCACUUAACCAUACAGAGAAGGGGCUGGGGUUCAUCCUUCCUGUGGUAAAGUUAUUAAGGAGACUGCCCGAUGCUGAUCUGCACAGGAGCACAGGUGGCCAUCAAUAGCAACAGUAGUAAUUAGACUUGCCACGAAGAACUACCAACUAGGAGGGCAUGUAAUACAGGUUUCCCAGAUUUGACAGCUGACUUGGAAACUUCCAUCUCUUAUCUGAGGUAUUAAAUGCAUUAACUGUGAUGGAGACUCCUGAGCCUCUCCAGUGCAAACUUCCUGCAGGAAGGAACUUUGGAACCUAGCUGCAGCUAGAAAGCAACCUCCAGGCUGGACAAGAGAGAGUGAUAGGAAAACAAGUUGACUACUAAUUAGAGAACUGUGUCCCUUGACUUUAUAUAUUUUAAAUUUAUUGUAUUUUAUUAAUUUAUAAGUGUCUGGGUGAUCUGCCUGCUUUUAUGUCAGUGUACCAUUUGCAUUUCAAAUGCUCACAUAAGCAAGAAAAUGGCAUUGGUUCCUCUGGGACUGGAAUUACAGAUAGUUAUGAGUUACCAUGUGGGUACUGGGCAUUGAACCUGGGUCCUCUGGAAGAGCAAGUGCUCUUAAUCACUGAGACAUCUCUGCAGUCCAUCCACAUUGUUUAAUACACAUUCAGAGAGGCCUUGUGUUUUAUUACAUCAGCUAAAAUGGAUAAAGUGGAUAAUAAAGAGCAAACAGGGGCAUGGUAUGACAUUGAAUCUAGGGUCAUACAGUUAAGAGCUGAAACAGAUUUCUAAUAACAGCACUACCCCAGAUUCGACAGAAAUGCCAUCCUUUUUCUAAGUUCAACAUAAAUGCCACAGACAAACAUUAGUCUAGCAGUAUUUACCUUUAUAUACUAAUUCACCUUGCUAAGAUUUAUGGAGAUCAAAUUAUAAAGAAAUCUUGAAAUGUCUCAGUACUUAUAGCCUACUCACCUUGUGGAAUAUUUUUAAUGGGGUUGCUGAGAUUCUUAUUUCUAAUUCCAUGCACUUGCCAUCAGUCUUCUGUGUAUGAUACUCCAUACUUCUGUAGCUCAGAACUCCUAACCAGGACAGGACCACAGUAGUCUGCCACAUCAACAUUUAGUUAACCAAAUGGCGAGAUGAAAGUCAAUUAGUUUGGUGCUGUGAACCAUUUGGGCCUAUGAUGUGCCUGUGCCUAGCAUAAUGAUUUAUUGUGGGAUAAACAAAAGAACCCUUCUGAGGACUUGCCUUUUGGUACAGAGGCUCUAUAUUUGUUCCACCUCGGUUUAAUGUUUGAGGAGAAUCACUCAAGGUUAUUUCCUUUCUUUUUUUAAAGUCAUUCAUGGAAGCAGAUAUUUGACCCAAAAGUUACAAAUGUAAUUCUACUUCCCACCCUAAGUUUCUUAGCCUAUUGGUUCAAUCCCCACCCCUCCCCAUCAUGCUCUCAGUCUUGUGGACAGUCUAGUGCUUGAAAUAAACUUAUGACCCUGAGAGUUCCAAUUUUUCCUUAGCUUAUUUAAACUUUUCAUAGGCUUCUUUCUAUCAGCGUCCCUACCCUUCGUAAAACCUGUUUUGAGCAUGAAUGCUAGGAAAGUUUCAAGUGUAAAUCAUUUCUUGGUGGUGUGUAUCUUCUGUCCUCUAAUAUUUUUCAUAGCCAGGGAUUGCCUUUGUGUUUUUCAUGCUGCCCUGCACUGGGACAAAUGACUGAGAAAAACAACACAAAGAAGAAAAUUUUGUUCUGGUUCACAGGUUCAGAGGUCUCAGAACAAAAUCCGUGUGCUUCAUUUUUAUGGUUUCCUGGUGAGACAAAGCAUACUAACAGCCAGAAUAUGUGGAGAUGGAGACUGCUCCCUUCUCUACUAUCAGGAAGGAGAGUGCCAUGCAAAAAGGGGCCAGAGCCAACUCAUAUCCUUCAAAGGCAAACUCCUCGUAUGCCUGUGCCUUCAACUAGGCCUCCACUUCCACAGGUCUAGCACCUUUAGAUUCAUUAAAAUUUUAAAUUUAUCAAUGCAUCAUACCAAUCUUUGGAAAAGAGCCCCCAAGAUCUACUGUUUUCUGGAGAAGCUCUCAAUGUCACACUCAGAAAGCAUGAUAUGCGAAACCUCUAGGUGUGUCUCAACAUCAAGUUCAUAGUCAAUGCUAACUGUCUUCACCUUUUACUGGGGACAUCCUUUUGAUAUGUGAUCACUAAAAGGAGUGCAUCAUUUCCCAGUGCCGGCAUGAGGGUGGGAGGUCAUCUUUGAUAACUGCUACUUAGCAACACAGAUGUACUAAUUGCAUUGACUGACACCACACAUUAAAAUUCCUUCCCAAUAACUCACAUAAGAUCUUAAGAUUCUUUCUUUUUUUAAACCACCUUAUCAUUAUCUCAGUGGAGUUCAAUUUCUUCCUUCUAUCCCAUAGUUCUGAAUAGUCUCCUCUGUCUAUCAGUGGUGAAAUUUUGCUUUGACACUCUCUCCUUUCUAGACAUAGCAGUACAGUUUUAAAGAUUUAUUUAGUUUUAUUGUAUGGGUAUUAGUGUUUUCCCUACAUGUGUGCGUGUACUGCCAUGUACGUGCCUGAUGACCAUAGAGGCCAGAUGAGGACACAGAGUCCCCUUAAGCUAGAGUUACAGAUGGUUAUAAGCAGCUUUAUGGGUGCUGGGAACAAAGCCUGAGUCCUCUAAAAGGGAGGAAGUGAUCAUCACUUGCAGAGUCAUCUCUCCAUCCUCCAGAGCUGUAUUUUCAAAUCCAGUGCCUUUGGGCAAGACAAGGGCUCUGCUCUGCAUUUAUGCUCUUGGUCUCUAUUUAAGUCUUCUUACAACUUGAGCAGCAUCAUAGGUGCAAUUUUUCUAGAUAGGUUUGUAUUCUGUUUAUGAAGGUGCUUCCUACCAAUUUUAAUGCUAUUUGUCCUAUAUUCAAAUAGAUUGUGUUUAAUACCCUUCAAUCAAUUAGUAGUGAUAUUUAAAAUUUUUACUCUAUUUGUGUGUACUAUUAACUCAUGUUUUAUGGGGGAUUUCAGAUUGGUACAGUUAACAUAAGACAAAUAUAAAUAACUGUAAGUUGUAUUUAUUUUACCAUACAUAUUUCUUGUUCAUGGUUUUGCACAUUUUCAUUUAUUAGAAUUUCAGUAAUAAUGGUGAGUGGUGAUAGAAACAAAAUUUCCCUCCUUAUUUAUGUCUUGUCUUAGCAGCACCUUUUUCAUAUCUCCUCAGAAUCUCAUUACUGGUUUUGAUAUUUUUUGUGAAUUUAAUAUAUUAUCUUGGCCUUUAAGUAUUCUUUCAUUUUUUUUUGGGUUUAGCUGAAAGGAUGCUAGUGAUAAUAAUUUUGGCAUCUAUUCCUAUGAUCUUCCCUGUCACUUUUUCAUUUGGGUCUACUGUUAUUAGGGUCUGUUUGAUUACUUGUUCAAAUCUCAUAUGAGUUGAAAUUUUCAAUGUUAUUCUAAGUCAGGUAUUCUAACACUUUUCUAUGAUGUCUUUGUUUAUUUCAAAGUUGAUUUUAUAAUUACUGUGUUAUAUAUUUACAAUUUAAGCAGUUUUACUACUUUCUACUUUUAUGCCUAAACACACACACACACACACACACACACACACACACACACACACACACACACACACACGGAGGUCUUAUUUUAUUUUUAAGUAUCCACAGUCUGAGCUUUGGAUUUCCAAAUGUUUUCUAUUUAUUUAUAUUAUUUAUCUUCAGUUUCAGAUUGUUGUCACUUACAUCUUCUUUGUUGGAAUACUCCUAAUAUGCAUCAUGUUUAAUGGUUUAACGUGAGCACUCCUUUCAAAUCACAAAUUCCUCAUCAAAUUAUCUAUGCUUUAUUUUUGCUUUUAUCUGGAGACAGAAUUUCAAGGACUGGCCAAGAUAAGUUUAGAACUCAUUGCGUAGAAGAGACUGGCCUUGAGUUUCCUUCAAUUCUCUUGCCUCAGUUCCUGGAGUGCUAGGAUUGCGUGUUUGAGCGACUGUGCUGGCUUACAUUGUCUAUGCUAUAUAAAUGGCAUGCUCCUAUGACUGGACAUGUACCCAAUAACAACUGAAUGAAAAAUCUGGCAUGUAUUUUAGCACAUUGCCCUCAUGCCUCCACCACUGCUUGUUUUAGUUCUGCUUCUUUGCUUGCUUUUCGUUAGCCUUUUAAUGUUGGAGAACAUAUACUAUUUUUGUUAUAUGGAAGAUAAACUUUUUUAUUGUCCUCUUGUUCCUUGAGGAUUUUAAACUUCUAUAGCAUGAAAUGUGAUCAUACCCAAGCUUCAUUUUCUCCUUCCAACCACCCGCCAUGUGCAAUAUGCUUCCCAAUACAUCUCUGUCCAUGCAUCAUGUCUUCAGUGUGUAUGUGUGUGUGUGUGUGUGUGUGUGUGUGAUGACACAUUGCAUCCAAUUAUGUGUUUUAUUCUUAUAUUUAAACUCGGUUCUUAUAGUAAUCUAAAGUCGUUCAUCUUUCAGUGAGUAAUUUUCUUUAACCUAUUUACACAGACUUUUAUUUAUUUUUAAUUUUUUGUCUAAAGCAUCUGAAUACUUUCUUGUUAAUAUUUGAUCCUCCCCAAGCAGCAGAGCAGCAGCGUCACAUCUGUGUUGAAAGCAUGGGUUUUGGAAUCAGCCCACCUUGCCUUGGGUUGCAGCUUGACUAUUGAUAUUCCCACCCCACAGUUCAGUGUCUGAGGCUCCCUGUCUCUCUCUGCCCUCAUGACAGUUCUGGCAUCAUGGGCAAUAUAGAGGUAUGAUAACAAUCUGAGCUAUCAUAGGAAGACCUUGGCAUGGGUCAAGUGUUCCACAAUGUCCUUGUUAAAUUCACCUUAUUGAUAUUUCUCCUCUUAUUUCCCCCUCUUCAUUCUGGGAAAAAUUCUGCAGGUUUUUAUCUCCUAAUUCCAUUUUUUUUUCAAGUCAGUAACUCUCUCCAGUAAAUCUUGUGUGCAUUUUACCCAAACUUCUGCAAUUUUAGUUUUAUUGCAAUCUUUCCCGAUCUCACUUAGAUGCUUUUUUCAUCUCCACGUAUUGACUUUAUGUCUCAUCUCAUUUUGUUUUGUUUCCAAGCUGGCCUGCUCUUUCCUCAUAUCAUUGUCCUAUUGAAUAACAUCCUGAAUUUGAUUUAAUGUGGCAUUUUCCUUGCAUCUGUAGCUUACUGUCUUGUAGAGUCUUCUUCUUUUCAAGAUGAUGUAUGUUUCCUUUUCUCUUUUAGGAUUUUUCAUAAAAGCCUUAUUGUUGCUAUGCCCUUCAGCUUAUGCCAUUUGUGUCUUGAUAGAUAAAACCAUGCCUAUACCAAAUGGUGAUGUCCCUUUGGCUUUUGAAACAUUUCUGUAUGUGUGUUGGUUUGCAAACAAGUCCUUAUUAAAUGUAAAUACUGACAAUAGUGUAGUAUCUGAGGGUACUAACUUCUACAAAAAAAAUCUGCUUAUUUUAAAGCUUUCUGAAGUAUUGGUUGGUAAUUAUUCCAAACAAAAGAAUAAUAAAAUAAAAUGUCUAACUUCAAAUAUGUGCUAUUAAAAUAAUAUUUUAUAUUUUUCCUAAGAAAGGGCUUUGAUUUAUGAAAUUUUAUUUAUCAAGUCCCAUAUUAUCUUUAAAGUGCAUAUAGACUGAUAUUUCAGUGAACCCUUUUCCCUGGCUAUAGAGAGAUAUUGGAUGGAAUAUCCCACAUUUCUUUUCAUCUUUAAGAUUUUUCAUAAAAUCUUUAUUGUUGCUAUAGUCUUCAAUUUAUACUAUUUGUGUCUUAAUAGAUAGAACUAUGUCUAUACCAAGUACUUAUUAAUCAUGUGGUGAAUGAAUGCAGUGCUAUGAUAAUGGAAAGCUUUCUUUAUUUCCAGGUUCUAGAAGAACCUCAGGAUCCUUAUCUACCUAAUGUUGGAUUUAUUAUUUACCUAGUGCCAUUUCAUAAAAAUACCCUAAAACAACAAAUUUAACUUAGCUUUCACUUUUGCAGGUCAGUAAUCUGGGCUGGGCUUAUAUGAGAAUGUCUUGUUUUGCCUGGACUCAAUGAGGCUGGCUUCUUCUGCCGAAGUUCACCUGGUCUAAUUGGAUUUCACUGAGGACCACUCAUUGCAUCCUAUUCAUUCUCUCACUGAACAGCAGCCUAGACAAAAUUCAUUUACGUGGUUGGUCAUAAAGGAUUAAAGAAAGCAGUUCUUAUUCCUAAAUGGGACAUUUAUAUCAACCCCUUCCUGCAUCAGAAAACACCAUGGAAGCAGGGACAGAAAGGGUGUUAGUAUGAGAGGAUAGAGAGAGGUGCUGAAAAGUGUCUUCAGGACAUGAUAUGACGGUGUACCUACAAACUCACUGCAGCUGUAGUUGUCUUCCCAAGGUCAGCACAAGACUGGGACCAUCAGCAGUUCAUCACAGGUUGAGGAGGGCCCCACUUCUUCAUGAGGGACUAUUGGCAGUUAAUGGUUACUGAUGGAACAGAAGGAAUAAAUAGAAACAUACACGAGAAAAAAAAGACAACAGAAGAGGAAAAGUCAAUCCAAAAGAAGACACACAAGAGAUGAAAAUCUUAUAAACACAAAAAUAGCUCAUCCUUUACAUGUAAUUUAACAUGUUCAACUUUUACACAUCUGAUUGGAAAGAGUAGACAAGUGAUUUCACCCAUUGCUGGCGAAAUUCUAGAACCUCAUGUUUUUCUGCUAUGGACAAUGGAUGGACUUGAACUAAAGAGUAGUCUUUGCAAUGGUGCUUAAUUUUAUUCGUUGCUAAUACUGAUUUUGUUUUUAAGAGCACAUAUCUUUCAACAUCUACAAGUCUAUCCUAAACACACACACUUAUAUGCAUAUGUAUUUUUUUAUCAAGUUAUACAUAAAUUUUUUAACCUGAAAGCUUACUGAACUUCUCAGUUUUUUGAGAUAUUUGAUUUUUGCUAUGAAAGCAUUUUAUCUUCAAUGAGAUAAUAUAAAUCUCUUUUUUUUCUGUUUGGAUGCCAUUAAUCUGUCUAUCUAUCUAUCUAUCUAUCUAUCUAUCUAUCUAUCUAUCUAUCUAUUUAUGUUCCCCCCUACCCCUUAUUGCUUGGGCUAUGACUUGGACCCCUGAACUGAAUAUGAAUAGUCAAAGUUGACACCUCUGAUUUAUUGCUGCAUUCCAAGGAAACACUUUCAUCUUUUCUUCAUUUACUAUGCUGUUCCUGUGGGCCUGUCAUUUAUGACCUUUGUUAUAUUCCUUGUUCCUAAGGUUAUUAUGUCAUAAAUGCAUAUUAAACCUUAUUAAAUACUUUGCUAUAUUUAUUGUAAUAAAAAUGAUUAUUAUAAUUCA